UGCGGUACUUCUGACCGUGCAAAGGUAGCAUAAUCAUUUGCCUUAUAAUUGAAGGCUAGUAUGAAUGGUUUGACAAGAAUAUAGCUGUCUCUUUAUAAUUUUAUAAAAUUUUAUUUUAAGGUGAAGAAGCCUUGAUUAAAUUAAAAGACAAGAAGACCCUAUCGAGCUUUAGGAAAAUUUAUAGAAAUCAGUUAAUAAAUGAUUUAAAAAAUUGGCUAUUGAAUACUUUGGUUGGGGCGACUAAGGAACAAACAAAGCUUCCUUUAAUAAAUAAUAUACAUACGAGUAUUGAUCCAAAAUUUUUGAUUAAAGAAAUUAGUUACCGUAGGGAUAACAGCAUUAUCUUUUUUGAGAGUUCUUAUCGAAAAAAAGGUUUGUGACCUCGAUGUUGGACCAGAAUAUCCUAAAGAUGCAGAAGUCUAA
rnacentral:rRNA from 1 species